rnacentral:rRNA from 1 species
CGAGCGGCGGACGGGUGAGUAAUGCCUGGGAAAUUGCCCUGAUGUGGGGGAUAACCAUUGGAAACGAUGGCUAAUACCGCAUAAUGCCUUCGGGCCAAAGAGGGGGACCUUCGGGCCUCUCGCGUCAGGAUAUGCCCAGGUGGGAUUAGCUAGUUGGUGAGGUAAUGGCUCACCAAGGCGACGAUCCCUAGCUGGUCUGAGAGGAUGAUCAGCCACACUGGAACUGAGACACGGUCCAGACUCCUACGGGAGGCAGCAGUGGGGAAUAUUGCACAAUGGGCGCAAGCCUGAUGCAGCCAUGCCGCGUGUAUGAAGAAGGCCUUCGGGUUGUAAAGUACUUUCAGUCGUGAGGAAGGUUCAUGCGUUAAUAGCGUAUGGAUUUGACGUUAGCGACAGAAGAAGCACCGGCUAACUCCGUGCCAGCAGCCGCGGUAAUACGGAGGGUGCGAGCGUUAAUCGGAAUUACUGGGCGUAAAGCGCAUGCAGGUGGUUCGUUAAGUCAGAUGUGAAAGCCCGGGGCUCAACCUCGGAAUAGCAUUUGAAACUGGCGGACUAGAGUACUGUAGAGGGGGGUAGAAUUUCAGGUGUAGCGGUGAAAUGCGUAGAGAUCUGAAGGAAUACCGGUGGCGAAGGCGGCCCCCUGGACAGAUACUGACACUCAGAUGCGAAAGCGUGGGGAGCAAACAGGAUUAGAUACCCUGGUAGUCCACGCCGUAAACGAUGUCUACUUGGAGGUUGUGGCCUUGAGCCGUGGCUUUCGGAGCUAACGCGUUAAGUAGACCGCCUGGGGAGUACGGUCGCAAGAUUAAAACUCAAAUGAAUUGACGGGGGCCCGCACAAGCGGUGGAGCAUGUGGUUUAAUUCGAUGCAACGCGAAGAACCUUACCUACUCUUGACAUCCAGAGAACUUUCCAGAGAUGGAUUGGUGCCUUCGGGAACUCUGAGACAGGUGCUGCAUGGCUGUCGUCAGCUCGUGUUGUGAAAUGUUGGGUUAAGUCCCGCAACGAGCGCAACCCUUAUCCUUGUUUGCCAGCGAGUAAUGUCGGGAACUCCAGGGAGACUGCCGGUGAUAAACCGGAGGAAGGUGGGGACGACGUCAAGUCAUCAUGGCCCUUACGAGUAGGGCUACACACGUGCUACAAUGGCGCAUACAGAGGGCGGCCAACUUGCGAAAGUGAGCGAAUCCCAAAAAGUGCGUCGUAGUCCGGAUUGGAGUCUGCAACUCGACUCCAUG